UAAAAGGUCCUUUUUAGGGCCACCCAAAUAUCAAAAAAAGAAUCU
rnacentral:ncRNA from 1 species